rnacentral:rRNA from 1 species
GACGAACGCUGGCGGCGUGCUUAACGCAUGCAAGUCGAACGUGAUUUUUGUGGAAAUUCUUUCGGGAAUGGAAAUGAAAUGAAAGUGGCGAACGGGUGAGUAACACGUGAGCAACCUACCUUACACAGGGGGAUAGCCGUUGGAAACGACGAUUAAUACCGCAUGAGACCACAGAAUCGCAUGAUAUAGGGGUCAAAGAUUUAUCGGUGUAAGAAGGGCUCGCGUCUGAUUAGCUAGUUGGAAGGGUAAAGGCCUACCAAGGCGACGAUCAGUAGCCGGUCUGAGAGGAUGAACGGCCACAUUGGAACUGAGACACGGUCCAAACUCCUACGGGAGGCAGCAGUGGGGAAUAUUGCACAAUGGGGGGAACCCUGAUGCAGCGACGCCGCGUGAGCGAAGAAGGUUUUCGAAUCGUAAAGCUCUGUCCUAUGAGAAGAUAAUGACGGUAUCAUAGGAGGAGGCCCCGGCUAAAUACGUGCCAGCAGCCGCGGUAAUACGUAUGGGGCGAGCGUUGUCCGGAAUUAUUGGGCGUAAAGGGUACGUAGGCGGUUUUUUAAGUCAGGUGUGAAAGCGUGAGGCUUAACCUCAUUAAGCACUUGAAACUGGAAGACUUGAGUGAAGGAGAGGAAAGUGGAAUUCCUAGUGUAGCGGUGAAAUGCGUAGAUAUUAGGAGGAAUACCGGUGGCGAAGGCGACUUUCUGGACUUUUACUGACGCUCAGGUACGAAAGCGUGGGGAGCAAACAGG